AAGACAAAAACAGAAUGAUGCCAGGCUCCUAAAAUAUUCUACCAAGUGUUGAACUCAUUAUUAAUGUGUGUGUGUGUUGUGUUCAAUAUUGAAAAAUAAUUACUUUGACUUACUUGAUCUUUUUAAAUACUUUCGUAUGAGGAAAUAUCAACAUUACGCAAAUGACCCCAAGCCAUAGUUAAUUAAUUAUGUCUCGUAUACACACUUGGACAACAUUCUUAGUACUCACUAUAAAAACUAUGAUUAAAAAUGGACUUAAAACCGAUGAAUAAAAAUCAAGCUCUAAUUUAUCUUAUGUCGACAGGUGCACAUGGCUCAUUAAUUUCACUGUUUGAUUGCCAAACAAGGGUUGUGAACAAAAACAUUAAGAUAACAGUACCAUUAUCAUCUGACCAUACUACUGUUUUUUUGCGGUUAUAACCCUUGAAGUCAGUUUCCCAACCAGAGGUACCCAUACUCCUAGGGGUACGCGAGCACAUGCAGGGGGUACGUUGAAACAGGCUUGGACUGGUCUCACGGAAUACAUGUACCAGCGUUACGUACUCAGGAUUAAAAAUAAUAAUAAAAAAAGAUACUAUAGUUUUGUAAACUUUCACGAGAGACGACUGUCUAACUACCUGAGUUUCCUCCUUACUGUCGUCAGAUGCCGUGUUCGGCUGUGAAAUUGUUGUCACCAAUAACGAGGGUAAGUUGACUUGUGUGCUUAUUUUUAUGAUUAUAGUCUACAAAAACCAUUCAACUUUGAAGUUGAGCCUCCUAACGUGAUUUUACAUCAUAUAAGCUAUAACCCUCUUAGUAUGUUUGAUUCCUUUUGGCGCAAUCAUUCAACACGCACACAGCGUCUGAGAGCUAAGAGGUGGCCCUUAUUCAAGUUUAGAAACCUGAUUUUAUCAAUUUGUUUUAUUCAUUCAAAUUUGGGAGGCUUGUUAACAUUACUCUUUUCUGCGGUGUGUCGAAUUUCUGUGCCAUUUUUUUGGGCCUGCUUCGUGUCACUUUAAAGUGUGUGUGUGUGGAGGGGGGGGCGAGAGAGAGAUGGCUACUGAUGCAAACACUCGCUUGCUUUCACAGUAGUGGGCCAGCAACCUUGUCAGGAGUUUACCAGAGCAACAAGUGGGCACAACAUACAGUAUAGUAGCUACAUGGAGCACAGCCAGCACGGCCACUGGCUGAAUAGCCGUGUUGAUGUCCCAAAAGCGGCUUGUUUAAAAGCAAAGGAAGGGACGGUAACUCUUGAUCAUAUUCACUCGAGGAUUUUUUUCCAUUUUGAAUAACAUUUACAAAGAAAACUGAGCUGUCAGAGCCAUUCGGAUUGCUGGUGACUUUGGCUAUGCGGGAGGUAGCCGAAGAGCCCACAGCUAAAUUAAUGUAUUGGCUACACGGGCAUAGUUGGAGCCAGGCUGUGGUGACAAAGAUUUUUCCUUCGACAAUCGCAUUUUCAACCAGACACCGGCUGCCAUGGCAAUGGGAAAUGUGGCGCAUACAGGACACAGCCCCAGAGUCCACAGUUCCAGCGGCAUUAACCUUGGUGAGACGCUGCAGGAGGACCUGGGAGCGAGCCCGCCAGAUGCUGCUGCGCCAGGGACGGUCCUACAAAGCCGCUGCUGACCGUUGGAGGACUACAAAGUGGGUCAGCGAGUUUGGCUCUCGACCAAACAUAUUCCACUCCGGGUGGAGUCCAAGAAGCUCGCUCCCAGGUUCGUUGGGCCCUUCCCCAUCACAAAGAUCAUCAACCCUGUCACCGUGAAGCUGAGGCUCCCAAGGUCGAUGCGGGUCCACCCUGCUUUUCAUGUCAGCCUACUCAAGCCAGCCCGGGAGUCCCCUCUGGAUACUGUUGCCUUUCUUGGAUUGUCUGCCUGUGUACCGACC